AUUGAACGCUGGCGGCAGGCCUAACACAUGCAAGUCGAGCGGAGCGGCGGACGGGUGAGUAAUGCCUAGGAAUCUGCCUGGUAGUGGGGGAUAACGUCCGGAAACGGGCGAUAAUACCGCAUACUCUCAGAUGAGCCUAGGUCGGAUUAGCUAGUUGGUGGGGUAAAGGACUACAAAGGCGACGAUCAGGAACUGGUCUGAGAGGAUGAACAGUAACACUGGAAUGGAGAAACGGUCCAGAGUCCUCCGGGAGGCAGCAGUGGGGAUUAGUGGACAAUGGGCGAAAGCCUGAUCCAGCCAUGCCGCGUGUGUGAAGAAGGUCUUCGGAUUUUAAAGCUCGUUAAGUUUGUAGGCGUUACCAACAGAAUAAGCACCGGCUAACUUCGUGCCAGCAGCCGCGGUAAUAC
rnacentral:rRNA from 1 species